rnacentral:rRNA from 1 species
ACCCCUACAAAAAUUAGAGGCGAUACCUGCCCGCUGAGAGAACGAGAAUAAUAUUAAUUAUAUUAAAUUUACCUUAAAAGGACGCAGUAACUUUAACUGUGAUAAUGUAGCAUAAUCAAUUGCCAUUUAAUUAAUGGAUAGUAUGAAUGGUCAAACGAGUAUUUAAUUGUCUCAAAUAAGAAUUUUUAAAAUUAAAAUAAUAGUUAAGAUUCUAUUUAUUAUUGUAAGACGAAAAGACCCUAUAGAACUUGACUACAAUCUGCUUAUAAAACUAUAAAAAUAUUUAUUAAGUAGACUGAUAGUUUAGUUGGGGCAACUAUUUUUUAUAAUUAACAAAAAUAAGCAAUAUUAAUAAUAUAAUUUAUUGUAUAAAUAAUAAUUUUAACAAUUAUAAAAUAGGCUAUUAUGACCCGUUAUAAUUUAAAAAUAAAAAUAACUAUCAAUAAAUAAAAGUUACCUUAGGGAUAACAGGAUAAUUUUACCCCAAAGACCAUAUUAAAGAUAAAGUUUAUCACCUCUAUGUUGAAUUAAGAUGUCCCUAUAGUGUAGAAGCUAUAAAUGGUAGGUCUGUUCGACCUUUAAAAUCUU